CAGUAGCCGCGGUAACACGGGGGGAGCUAGCGUUGUUCGGAAUUACUGGGCGUAAAGCGCGCGUAGGCGGCUUUUUAAGUCAGAGGUGAAAGCCCGGGGCUCAACCCCGGAAUUGCCUUUGAAACUGGAAAGCUAGAAUCUUGGAGAGGUCAGUGGAAUUCCGAGUGUAGAGGUGAAAUUCGUAGGUAUUCGGAAGAACACCAGUGGCGAAGGCGACUGACUGGACAAGUAUUGACGCUGAGGUGCGAAAGCGUGGGGAGCAAACAGGAUUAGAUACCCCUGUAGUCCCUGUCUCUUAUAU
rnacentral:rRNA from 1 species